rnacentral:misc_RNA from 1 species
AAGUCGUAACAAGGUUUCCGUAGGUGAACCUGCGGAAGGAUCACUAAAGAGAACUUGCCCCUCGGGGUAGAUCUCCCACCCUUUGUUUAUUAUACUCUGUUGCUUUGGCGGGCCUGCCUCACGGCUGCCGGCGUAAGCUGGCUCGCGUCCGCCAGAGACCCCUAAACUCUGAAUAUUGUCGUCUGAGUAAUAUAUAAUAAGUUAAAACUUUCAACAACGGAUCUCUUGGUUCUG